rnacentral:lncRNA from 1 species
GCCAGCCUGGGCCACCUAUACAACGACAGCCUGCUCCGGGGCUUCCUGAGGAGGUGCCUGCCCCGCCGAGGUUCAACAGCUUUGGAGAGCAGGACAUCUUUUCCUCUCAGCCUGGCCCUCUGCAAUGGAGGCCAUAAAUAGGCCAGUAGUGGAAGCUACAGAACACGUGAGCAUGGCAGGGGCUGAGCUCCAUUUCAAGAUAUGGGUAAGAGGAGGGAUGCUGUUGCCUUGGAGCUGCCAGGCUGCAUGGCAGACAAGCAGGAUUCCUGCUGCCUCCCAUGGAGACUAUACUGGAACGCAGUUCAAGGAAAGAAGCAAACUUAUUAUUUAAGAGCAAUGCAAAAUGAAAGCCAAGGCCAAGGACUUACUUUCCCGGAUCUGGCAUCUGAGUGCACAGCAACCGCAGAGACUGAAAACUCCUCCGAAUAGAAUGAAUGUUUGCCAUCCCCAUAAACACAACUUCACAGUUUGGGUAAUACUCUGGAGAGAGUAACAAUAAAGAGAACACAAAUACGUUGAACUUAAAGCCCACAUGGCCAAAUUUAAAAGCAAACUGGCUAUAAAACAAACCCACUGCAGCUUCUGAUUAACGAAACUGAAAUGUUUUGAAAUGCUUAACUAUUAGCCCAAUCCUUUAUAAUAAGAGGAACACACUGA